AGUGAACGCUGGCGGUAGGCCUAACACAUGCAAGUCGAACGGCAGCACAGGAGAGCUUGCUCUCUGGGUGGCGAGUGGCGGACGGGUGAGGAAUACAUCGGAAUCUACCUUUUCGUGGGGGAUAACGUAGGGAAACUUACGCUAAUACCGCAUACGACCUACGGGUGAAAGUGGGGGACCGCAAGGCCUCACGCGAUUAGAUGAGCCGAUGUCCGAUUAGCUAGUUGGCGGGGUAAUGGCCCACCAAGGCGACGAUCGGUAGCUGGUCUGAGCGGAUGAUCAGCCACACUGGAACUGAGACACGGUCCAGACUCCUACGGGAGGCAGCAGUGGGGAAUAUUGGACAAUGGGCGCAAGCCUGAUCCAGCCAUACCGCGUGGGUGAAGAAGGCCUUCGGGUUGUAAAGCCCUUUUGUUGGGAAAGAAAUCCUAUCGGUUAAUAACCGGUGGGGAUGACGGUACCCAAAGAAUAAGCACCGGCUAACUUCGUGCCAGCCGCCGCCGUAAUAC
rnacentral:rRNA from 1 species